rnacentral:misc_RNA from 1 species
UCCUGCAGCUGAAUCAUACUUGAUCUUAAUACGGCAUGGAGAAUCGAUGUGGAACGAAAAGAACCUGUUCACUGGUUGUGUAGAUGUGCCACUCACCAGUAAAGGAGUAGAAGAAGCAAUUGAAGCUGGUAAGAGAAUUAGACACUUACCUAUUGAUGUUGUCUACAUCUCUGCAUUGAUUCGUUCUCAGAUGACGGCCAUGCUCGCCCUAACAGAGCACCACUGCAAGAAGGUGCCCAUUAUUGUCCACGAUGAGACUGAACAAGCCAAAGUAUGGAGUCAAAUUUAUAGUGAAGGCACCGAGAUGCAGUCUGUUCCUGUUAUUAAAGCAUGGCAACUGAAUGAAAGAAUGUACGGGGAACUUCAAGGGUUUAAUAAGCUAGAAACAGCUGAAAGAUGCGGACAAGAGCAAGUCUAUAAAUGGCGCCGAAGCUAUGAUGCUCGGCCACCCAACGGCGAGAGCUUGGAAAUGUGCUUGCGAAGAGCUGUUACCUAUUUCAAAGAGCAAAUUGAACCCCAACUUUCCAGUGGAAAGAAUGUAAUGGUAGUAGCUCAUGCAAAUUCAUUGAGGUCCAUCCUAAUGUAUCUCGAUAAAUUGACUGCAGAGGAGGUCAUCCACUUAGAACUCUCAACCG